GUAGCGCUACCUACACCUGCACGCAUGCAUUAGUCUGCAUCUUCUUCCACAUCGCUGCCGCGCGCCAUUUGUGUUUCUGGCAGCGGCAAUGGGUGUCGUGAGCUCAACGGUCCCUGCAGCCUUACUCCUCACUUCCUUCUUGCUCAUCUCCAAGCUUCCUCGCUGCAGGCCACUGUCCUUCAGCUACAACUUCUCCGACUCUGCCACUUACGACCGUGCCGACAUCACGACCGAGGGAGCCGCGACGUACUCGCCGACCGUUGCAGCUGGGUACAGCGGCAAACGUAACCCUGCUGCCGCUGGCUCGCCGGCGCCCGGUGAUUCCUCCAGUGCCGGAGCUUCUUCUUCUUCUUUCACAACGGGAGGUGCGCGCUCGACCGCGACCAGUUCCUCCACGACGGUUGGACCAUCUAGCUGUUGUCCAGAGUCCUCUGUUGUAAGUAUGCAACAAACUGCUGGCAUGUAAAGAUCAUCGUGUUGGAUGUACUCCGUCCGAAGGAAAGUUUCGGCCUUGUGGGAAGGAGGCGGCUGGUCUUUAUACUAUUUUAAGGCACUGUAAAUUAAAAGCUUCUUCUCUAAAGAUUCCUCAGUGUGAUACUGUGAUGCGGACGUGAUGACACUCGUAGCAUUUUGUUUAUACAGAACCUGCGUAUCUCUUAAUUGAACUGACAAAACUGAACAGACCGAGAUAAAUCCAGGUUCAGUUCAGGUUUUUCGGUAGUUUGGUUCUUGGUUAAUAUGCCCACCCCUACCUGGCUCCUGGCAUCAUGGGUUGGGCUGCG
rnacentral:lncRNA from 1 species